GCUACUCCCUCUGAACUCGCCGCCGCUGAAAAUCACCGAGAACACCAUAUACAGCCCUUUCCCGUCCGAUUGAGAGUUUAUGUACAUACCUUGAGCCCUCCCGAUCUCUCGAGACUCGAUCUUCGGCCCUUCCGUCACCGGAUCGUCGACCACAAUUAGGGUUCCGAACUCCAGAACGCUCGAUUCCUGUCCUUUUCUCCCGCCG
rnacentral:misc_RNA from 1 species